ensembl:lncRNA
AUAUCCUGUGGGUAUGUUCUCCACGCUGCAAACUCGCUCUUUAUGCCUCUUUGUUUGGGAGGCGUGUUGUUGUGUUCUGAUGUGGACCGACGGAUUCACAUUAAACUUCUAGAACAGAUCAUGACAGUGUUAAAAACAGUGUAUGUCUCUGGUUUUCUAAGUAAUGUUUUAUCAAAUUUCUAUUAUUUUGUUUCAUUCAGAGCAGGUUUGCGUUUGAGAU